AAAAAAACUAAAAAAGCUCCCAAACCCCCGUUCUCUCCCCAGAAUUCGGCCAGAGGUACGGCCAUCGGCCGCCGUGUCAGCCGCCGGCCACCAGCGACGGCGCCUCCGUACACGGUGGCCGGAGAGGGGAGAAAUUUCAGAUCUAGUCCUUUCAACCCUCCUAAGCCUGAAUCCGUGUUCAAAAUUCCCAAAAUGUUAACAAAAAUGCCCAAAAGUUCAAGAAACCUUUCGGUUUCCGGUCUCCGAUCAUCGGGGGUGACUCCCUCGUUGUUUAAAACAUGUACAGGUUUGUCCUUUCUUCUUUCUUUUUUGUUUCUACUUCCGUAUGUAAAUAAUAAACACAAAAAAAAAGAAAAAAAAAGUAGAUUAAAGAUGGAGUGUAAAAGGGUAAAUGUAAACCUUUAGGAUUUUGAUUUAUGCUUUCUUGUUCUCAAAAUGUUCCGAAAAAAGAAAAAUCCCCCUCUUGAAUUACAUUUGGUUCUGCCUUUAUAGCCGAUUAUGUUGCUUUUUUUCUACUGUUCUUUUGCCUCUAUUCUCUUCUAUCGUUUUGUCUUGUUUGCAGGUUUUGGGCAAGGUCAACGAGUGUUGGAGGAUAACCCGGACCAUUUUGGUGCAAAGCCGAUGAUGUCCGUCAUGCUUCGGGCGUCGAGAGCGCUGCAAAGGCAUGAGGGGAGGUACGGCGCACAUGGAGCACUGGUGCCGUUAGGUUGUGGGAUGAAUUGGGCUGGGGUUUUGUUAUUGGGCCUUUUGGGUUUGAAUCGGGUUGGUAUUUUGGGCUCAGGUUUGGGUUUCACUUGGGCUAUCUGAUGUUGGGUCUGUUUGUAGUUGGGUUAGUUGGGCUGCUUGCUUUUUGUUUAUUAACCUUAGUUUGGUCCGGUUUGGGUUUUGGGCCCCGGGCUAAAAUUGGGCCUUACACAGGGGUACUCUUUGUUUUAUUAGGACCUUCCUCACCUUAAUCCUUUAUGCUCAUAAGGGUAAUAGAAGUUAAUUAUAUUUUAUUAUUUGAUAUUCAUACAAGAAAAGCUAUCUAAU
rnacentral:lncRNA from 1 species